ACUCAAAGGAAUAGACGGGGACCCGCACAAGCAGCGGAGCAUGUGGUUUAAUUCGAAGCAACGCGAAGAACCUUACCAGGGCUUGACAUCCCCCUGAAAGCCGCUUAACCGCGGCCCCCCUCGGGCAGGGGAGACAGGUGGUGCAUGGUUGUCGUCAGCUCGUGUCGUGAGAUGUUGGGUUAAGUCCCGCAACGAGCGCAACCCUUGCCGUUAGUUGCCAUCAUUAGGUUGGGCACUCUAGCGGGACUGCCGGGGAUAACUCGGAGGAAGGUGGGGACGACGUCAAAUCAUCAUGCCCCUUAUGCCCUGGGCUACACACGUGCUACAAUGGCCGGCACAACAAGCAGCGAAGCCGCGAGGCGGAGCAAACCUCAAAAACCGGCCCCAGUUCGGAUUGCAGGCUGCAACCCGCCUGCAUGAAGCCGGAGUUGCUAGUAAUCGCAGAUCAGAAUGCUGCGGUGAAUGCGUUCCCGGGUCUUGUACACACCGCCCGU
rnacentral:rRNA from 1 species